UUUUUCGGAGAGUUUGAUCCUGGCUCAGGACGAACGCUGGCGGCGUGCCUAAUACAUGCAAGUCGAGCGGACAGAAGGGAGCUUGCUCCCGGAUGUUAGCGGCGGACGGGUGAGUAACACGUGGGUAACCUGCCUGUAAGACUGGGAUAACUCCGGGAAACCGGAGCUAAUACCGGAUAGUUCCUUGAACCGCAUGGUUCAAGGAUGAAAGACGGUUUCGGCUGUCACUUACAGAUGGACCCGCGGCGCAUUAGCUAGUUGGUGAGGUAACGGCUCACCAAGGCGACGAUGCGUAGCCGACCUGAGAGGGUGAUCGGCCACACUGGGACUGAGACACGGCCCAGACUCC
rnacentral:rRNA from 2 species